rnacentral:rRNA from 1 species
CCUACGGGUGACUGCAGUGAGGAAUAUUGGUCAAUGGCCGAGAGGCUGAACCAGCCAAGUCGCGUGAGGGAAGACGGCCCUACGGGUUGUAAACAUCUUUUGUCGGGGAGCAAAGCGAGUAGCGUAUGACUCAUUGAGAUUACCCGAAGCAAAAGCAUCGGCUAACUCCGUGCCAGCAGCCGCGGUAAUACGGAGGAUGCGAGCGUUAUCCGGAUUGGUGGGGUUAAAAGGGUGCGCAGGCGGAGGUGCAAGUCAGCGGUAAAAUUGCGGGGCUCAACCCCGUACUGCCGUUGAAACUGCAUCCCUUGAGUGCGCGAGAGGUAUGCGGAAUGCGAGGUGUAGCGGUGAAAUGCAUAGAUAUCACGCAGAACUCCGAUUGCGAAGGCAGCAUACCGGCGCGAAACUGACGCUCAUGCACGAAAGCGUGGGUAUCGAACAGGAUUAGAUACCCGAGUAGUC